GAUGAAGAACGCAGCGAAAUGCGAUAAGUAAUGUGAAUUGCAGAAUUCAGUGAAUCAUCGAAUCUUUGAACGCACAUUGCGCCCAUCAGUAUUCUGUUGGGCAUGCCUGUCCGAGCGUCAUUUCAACCCUCAGGGCCCGUUCGCGGGAACUGGUGUUGGGGAUCGGCCUCCCCCCGGAGGCCGGCCCCGAAAUGCAGUGGCGGCUCUACCGCGAUCUCCUCUGUGUAGUAGCGAUACCUCGCAGCUGGAUAGUGGUGGUGCCACGCCGUAAAAUCCCAACUUUACCAAGGUUGACCUCGGAUCAGGUAGGAAUACCCGCUGAACUUAAGCAUACAAUAAGCGGAGGA
rnacentral:misc_RNA from 1 species